rnacentral:lncRNA from 1 species
GUUUUGGCUCCUCCUGCUUGGGUUUCCCAGCCAUCAAUCCACCCAGCUGGCACAGGAUUGACUCCUGGUGGAACCCAACUCAGUGAUCUGUGCAGUGUGGUGUUUUCCAAACUGGCCAAGGUGUCUGCAGGGCCCUCAGAAUUUUCCAAGCAAGAAAAGAUUUGGCUACUUGGAGAAACUUCAUCCUUCUGGAGGCAUCACCUCCAGAAUCUACUUGAAGUGGAUGACACUGACUUCCAUGAACUGUUUUCCGUUUGCUGAGGGUGAUGGCUUCCAACUCCAUCCAUGUCCCUGCAGAGGAGAUGAUCUCAUUCCUUUUUAUGGCUGUAUAGUAUUCCAUGGGUUGUCUGUUCACUCUGAUGAUGGUUCCGUUUGCUGUGUGGAAGCUCUUAAGUUGGAUUAAAUUCCAGUCGUCAAUUUCGUAGAAGUUACAGAUAUCAGCUCCUGGAUACAUCAUACUAAAGUCAAAGCCUGGAAAACCAAGAGAGCAACCCCUGACAACCUAGAGGAAUGUCCUGGAGAUUAAUGUGAAGAACUAGGAGAUUUCAAGCUGAAAAUCAUAAAAGAUAAGUAAAUGACCUGGACGUUCUGCACAUGUAUCCUGGAACUUAAAAUAAAAUUUAAACCAAAAAAAAACCUCUUGUCAAGCAAGGUUUAUGAUUCUUUUUGUGGAGCACUUCAUGCUGAUGACAUCUUGUCCAUUCAUUUAGGCAAUGAUGGAAAAUCUUAUUGAUGUGAAAAGUCACUGAACAGGGAAUUGGAAACCUGGAUUUGAAAAAAAUGUCUUCUUCUCAUUCAUAGUAUGAAGAGAUGUACAGAGGUAUUUGGUGGCAAAAAGAUGGAGGAGAGAAACCUUAAUUGAGUGGAACCAAAAAUGAAUUUGAAUAGAUAUGGAGUUGGGGAUGUCUUUCAAUAACCUGCAAACCUGAAUGUUGACAUGGAAUGUUAUUUGGUCAGGAAGUCUGGAUUAUGGAAAUGCAGAUUCUAUAAUAAAGCCUGGCUCUCCAUUCCAAGAUGGCUGAAUAGGAACAGAUCU